rnacentral:rRNA from 1 species
AUUGAACGCUGGCGGCAUGCCUUACACAUGCAAGUCGAACGGUAACAGGUUAAGCUGACGAGUGGCGAACGGGUGAGUAAUGUAUCGGAACGUGCCCAGUCGUGGGGGAUAACUGCUCGAAAGAGCAGCUAAUACCGCAUACGACCUGAGGGUGAAAGCGGGGGAUCGCAAGCCCUCGCGCGAUUGGAGCGGCCGAUAUCAGAUUAGGUAGUUGGUGAGGUAAAGGCUCACCAAGCCGACGACCUGUAGCUGGUCUGAGAGGACGACCAGCCACACUGGGACUGAGACACGGCCCAGACUCCUACGGGAGGCAGCAGUGGGGAAUUUUGGACAAUGGGCGCAAGCCUGAUCCAGCCAUGCCGCGUGCGGGAAGAAGGCCUUCGGGUUGUAAACCGCUUUUGUCAGGGAAGAAAAGGUUCUGGCUAAUACCUGGGACUCAUGACGGUACCUGAAGAAUAAGCACCGGCUAACUACGUG